rnacentral:rRNA from 1 species
AGGGUUCGAUUCUGGCUCAGGAUGAACGCUAGCUACAGGCUUAACACAUGCAAGUCGAGGGGUAGCAGGGUAGCAAUACCGCUGACGACCGGCGCACGGGUGAGUAACACGUAUCCAACCUUCCCAUAACUCAGGGAUAGCCUUUCGAAAGAAAGAUUAAUACCUGAUAGUACUUUUUCAAGGCAUCUUGAAAAAAGUUAAAGAUUUAUUGGUUAUGGAUGGGAUGCGUUCCAUUAGAUAGUUGGUGAGGUAACGGCUCACCAAGUCUUCGAUGGAUAGGGGUUCUGAGAGGAAGGUCCCCCACAUUGGUACUGAGACACGGACCAAACUCCUACGGGAGGCAGCAGUGAGGAAUAUUGGUCAAUGGGCGAGAGCCUGAACCAGCCAAGUAGCGUGAAAAGGAUGAAGGUCCUAUGGAUUGUAAACUUCUUUUAUAGUAGAAUAAAGUGAGCCACGUGUGGUUUUUUGUAUGUAUACUAUGAAUAAGGAUCGGCUAACUCCGUGCCAGCCGCCGC